rnacentral:rRNA from 1 species
GGACCCACACAAGCGGUGGAGCAUCUUGUUUAAUUCGAUAAUAAGCGGGAAACCUUACCUAGGCUUGACAUCCCGGAGAAUUUUCUAGAGAUAGAAAAGUGCCUUUUGGAACUCCGGUGACAGGUGCUGCAUGGUUGUCGUCAGCUCGUGCCUUGAGGUGUUCGGUUAAGUCCGUAAACGAGCGCAACCCUAGUCGUAUGUUGUAUUUCUCAUACGAGACUGCCGGUUACAAAUCGGAGGAAGGUUAGGAUGAUGUCAAAUCAGCAUGGCCCUUAUGCCUAGGGCUACAAAGGUGCUACAAUGGUAGAUACAACGGGCAGCCAAGUGGUAACACGGAGCCAAUCCCUUAAAGCUUGUCUCAGUUCGGAUAGGAGUCUGCAACUCGACUCCGUGAAGUUGGAAUCGCUAGUAA